rnacentral:lncRNA from 1 species
AGCAAAACUAAUAAUCAGUCAGAUAGAGUUCGGAGCCAAUUGAGUAGAACAAAGACUGUAAUUGUCAAAAAGAUUCUAGACAAACUCCAGAAUUAGAAAUUGAAGAUCAGCCCGAAGAUCCUUGACAUAGAAUGCAACCUGGCCCGAAGGAGGAGAGUUCACCCAAUCAUCCGGAUCAGGAACAGAAAGUUGAUAUUGCUUCGGGAUACAAUAUUAUUUCCAGAGCCGUUCAAUAUUGGGC